rnacentral:sRNA from 2 species
AAAAAAGUUUUCUAGGGUUCCGCAACAGCAAGUUGGUCUGGUCCGAGAGAAAACUCACAGUAUUGCUGUGACACGGAGGGACAAAAGCCUGGGAGAA